ACUGCUUUAAAAUUUUUAUUAAGAAGAAAAGUAAAUCUUUUUAAACUGAGGGAAAAUGAAUCAAUAAUUAUUUGUUAAGGAUCUCUCUGUAUACCACGUUGUCAGUUCGCCCCUCCGGUUGUAAUAUGACCAAGCUGUGUGCUGACCUUACUCUUGAGCAUGCAACGUACAGGUGGCCAUGUGAAAAGCAGUCCUGCCUGAAAUCAAUGCCAACCUUUUGUAGGGUCUGUCCCUGAGACUUAUUAAUUGUCAUUGCGAAGCAGAGCCUUAGUGGAAAUUGUAGGCGUUUGAAUUGAAAUGGGAGAUCAGAGGGUAUAAUGGGGAUGCGAGGAAUAAAAACUCUCUCCCCUGAGCCACCGCCAGUAAAAAUAUUUGCCUCAAUGAGGUUCUUUUGCAGAGACGUGAUCUGAAGUCUCGUGCCGUCACAAAGUUUCAGUGGCUGUACGCAAAUCCACAAUCGGUUUCAUAUUGUUUUCAUACCUUAUCAAUUGUGUAAUGUGUUUUUUGAACAGGUUUGAUUCAUCGAAGUGAUCACUCCUGCUGCGUUCAGUCACUUCACGUGAGCCGCUCUCUUGUGUGAUGUUGCGAUGUCCACGGGUUUAUUUAAUGUUAGCUAAGACCCGGCAGUUAAAAGUUUCUCGCUACAGCAAUUUUAACUCUGUUACACAGUGAUCCAAACUGUCAUUUAUACCUCGUGUCUUCUCAUUAAACUUGUAUCUCGCGAAUAUGGCAUUGCAAACGGCAGCGGGUCAGUUCAUGUGCUUACAUGGGAGGCGUGAUGACGCGAUAUAUUUUGAUAUAUAUCAAAAUACCCACGCUUCACAGCGGCGAAGUACUGCUUUAAAAUUUUUAUUAAGAAGAAAAGUAAACCUUUUUAAACUGAGGGAAAAUGAAUCAAUAAUUAUUUGUUAAGGAUCUCUUUGUAUACCACGUUGUCAGUUCGCCCCUCCGGUUGUAAUAUGACCAAGCUGUGUGCUGAGCUUACUGUUGAGCAUGCCCUUCAGAAUGAAAACAGUUUGCAUUUACCUUUUUAAUAAAAGGCAAGCUUUUAAGCCUGAGAAAUCACCCCGUAAAUGCACACGUUUAUUUGCACAUGUGUUAAUAUGUAUGCUUACACAGAAUUAAAAUACACUCAACAAUUAACGUCAUUUACCUUUGUUCCCGCGUUUGAUAAAAGGCGAGCUUUUAAGCCUGAGAAAUCACCCCAUAAAUGCACACGUUUAAUUGCACAUGUGUUAAUAUGUAUGGUUACACAGUAUUAAAAGACAUUCAACAAUUAACGUCAUUUACCUUCGUUCCCGCGUUUGACUCGUGCUGUAAAUCUCUUUCUUGUUUUCAGUUCACAUGAUUACGUAGGAGGCGUGAUGACGCGAUACGUGACUCCGCCUCCUCCAUUUGAGUAUAUGGACAAAAAACAGGUUCCAGUUAUGACCAUUAUGCGUAGAAUUUCGAAAUGACACCUGCCUAACUUUUGUAAGUAAACUGUAAGGAAUGAACCUGUCAAAUUUCAGCCUUCUACCUACAUGGGAAGUUGGAGAAUUAGUGAUGAGUGAGUCAGUCAGUCAGUCAGUGAGGGCUUUGCCUUUUAUUAGUAUAGAUAGACUUUACCAAAAUGCCUCAAAUCACAUACACUUACCAAUCUGUGGUCAGGUACUGUAUUUCUACAUCUACAUCUACAUUCUCAGGCAAUUAGACAAAUAGUAAAGGAACAAGCAGGAGAAAGAGAUACACUUUUUAACUAUGUAUUAUAGGUAAUAAAUUGUAUUGUAACUAUUGUCAUAUAAGCAAAAAGGAUGCGGCUUUACAAACCAAAACUAUACAACCUGAUACUAGAUAUGCAGUUUCAGGUGCCCCAAUAACUUAGAGUUGCAUUUGAACCUCCUUGUCAGCUGAUCAUCUGAACAGUCCCAGGCAUCCUCUCUGUCUUAAUAUGGCUUCUGAGACAGAGUUGUCUUCUCUUCAUGGAGGAAUGGUAAGAAAGAGAAGUUGUCUUCUCAACAUGCUAAGAUAGUGAGAAAGAGAGAGAAAGGUGGAUUUAGCCAACUCAUACCAUUCCAAACAGAAAUGUUGGAAGAGGAACUGCAGACAACUCCCUUGGUUCAUCCAAUCCUGUUUAGCCUCAACAUAAACUAAUGGGCAUUUCAUUUUGUAGAGUCAUGUUUCAUGCCAAAGCCAGUCCUCCAUGGAGGAAGGCGACUGUCUUUAUGGUCCUCUUUAUCGUCUCUCACCCCCCCUGCUUUCUGGAAGGGUUGGGUUAGCUGCAAGAUCUGCUUCUCCUCCAUAGUUAUACUGUAAAUCUUUACUUUUCCUCUCCAAGCUUUCUUCCUGGGGAAUGAGCUUAUGGAAUGUAAAGGCCAGUCUGGUCACCUCUUUAAUAUGUGAAGCUCAUACAAACAAAAACAUGCUUCAGGCAUGUCUACACAGCUGGCACUCUACCCAACGCAGAUGGCAUACCUGCAGAGCAGCACUUGCUAGUAUUUUAUGGCCUUACGUGUGCUUAACAGACAUUAUAUCAUUCAACUAUCACUAUGCUAAACAUUACAAUACAUAGAGAAAUGAAACCCCAGCAAAAGAACAUAAGUCAAUGUUUAAGACAACAAUUGCACUUGUGUAAACCUCAGCUCUCUGCCUAUUUUAAUUUUUGACCAAUAGAUUUUUCAACCAGCCUGCGGUGAGUUCUCAAAAGUAUUGUAAUGUUAAAAUAUUGUAAACUCAAUCAAUCAAUCGUUUAUUUAUGACGGUUUCAUGAAACUCAUCAUAACUAAAGUUACAUGUUAAAUUGUUCAUAAUCUACACUCUCCCUAACUAAUCGACAAGCAUUUUUAAAUGUACUGUAGACCGCAGGCUGUCUGUGUAGAUGGAUGACUUUUGCCAGAAAGAACACAUUGAGUUCACCUUGUAACAGUUUCCAGAAUAAUUUGAAUAGUGAAAAUAUAUACUUGACAUAAUGUAAUGUUCAUGAUUAGUGCAUUUGUAUGAUUAUAUUGUGCAAAUAAAUUGUUUCUUUAAAUUA